UUUUGGAGCCAGCCGCCUAAGGUGGGACAGAUGAUUGGGGUGAAGUCGUAACAAGGUAGCCGUAUCGGAAGGUGCGGCUGGAUCACCUCCUUU
rnacentral:ncRNA from 4 species